CAGCCGAAAUAGCAGUACAGAAUCUUUUGUUAAUUUGUAACUCCAGGAUAAAAUACAAACAGGCAACAAUAGUUUCUUUCCACACAGGACCUUUAUAAUACUUUAUCACGCUUUAGUUAAACUGUUCAUUCACAUCAUAUAAAUAUUAAUGAGAUCUCUUUCUACAUGCACAGAAAGAUGAAGGUGAUAGUUGCAGACAUUUCUCCAUCAGAUCUGCCAUAUUUUAGUUUAUGAUCCACUUGUGAUAUCACAGUCAUUAGAUGUUUACUGGUACAUUCUGCUGGUUUCACCGUCAUCAAUCUGGUGUCUGUCUGCUGCCUUGAUAUCUGGGGGAGAAGGCGCUGUUUUAUUCACAGGAGGAUUUGUCACUUGAUCAGUGACAUUUUGUAUUCUGAGUGGUGUGACAGCUGAUGUGAGUAUGAAAUGUCACCGAUCCAGGCAACAUACAGGAUCACAUGACUUUUACAGAGUGGCAAAAUAGGGUAAAUACUCAAUGGA